GAUGAAGAACGUAUCGAAAUGCGAUACGUAAUGUGAAUUGCAAAAUUCAGUGAAUCAUCGAGUCUUUGAACGCACAUUGCGCCCCCUGGUAUUCCGGGGGGCAUGCCUGUCCGAGCGUCAUUGCUGCCCUCAAGCACGGCUUGUGUGUUGGGCCUCCGUCCUCCUCCCGGGGGACGGGCCCGAAAGGCAGCGGCGGCACCGCGUCCGGUCCUCGAGCGUAUGGGGCUUCGUCACCCGCUCUUGUAGGCCCGGCCGGCGCUUGCCGACACAUCAAUCUUUUUUCCAGGUUGACCUCGGAUCAGGUAGGGAUACCCGCUGAACUUAAGCAUAUCAAUAAGUGGAGGA
rnacentral:misc_RNA from 1 species